rnacentral:misc_RNA from 1 species
AACCUUAUGGACCUGCGGGCGUAUACCUGCGGAAGGAUCAUUACAGAGUUCAUGCCCUCACGGGUAGAUCUCCCACCCUUGAAUACUAUACCUUUGUUGCUUUGGCGGGCCGCUUUGGCUACUGGCUCUGGCUAGUAAGUGCCCGCCAAAGAACCCCAAAACUCUGAAUAUUAGUGUCGUCUGAGUACUAUAUAAUAGUUAAAACUUUCAGCAAUGGAUCU